CGGUGCAUGGCGCAGUCCGGUAGCGCACCUGCCUUGGGAGCAGGGGGCCGCAGGUUCGAAUCCUGCUGCACCGACCA
rnacentral:tRNA from 1 species